rnacentral:rRNA from 1 species
GACGAACGCUGGCGGCGUGCCUAAUACAUGCAAGUCGAACGGAGUGGGGACGGGUGAGUAACACGUGGGUAACCUCCCAUCAGAGGGGAUAACACUUGGAAACAGGUGCUAAACCGAUACUGAUGUAUGUACCCGCGGUGCAGUAGCUCGUUGGUGAGGUAACGGCUAAUCAAGGCGACGAUGCAUAGCCGGCCUGAGAGGGUGAUCGGCAACACUGGAACUGAGACACGGCCCAGACUCCGACGGGAGGCAGCAGUAGGGAAUCUUCGGCAAUGGACGAAAGUCUGACCGAGCAACGCCGCGUGAGUGAAGAAGGUUUGCGGAUCGUAAAACUCUGUUGUUAGAGAAGCGGUAUCUAACCAGAAAGCCACGGCUAACUACGUGCCAGCAGCCGCGGUAAUUC